AAGUCGUAACAAGGUUUCCGUAGGUGAACCUGCGGAAGGAUCAUUAAAAAAUCUCUUAAUGAGCCGCAAGGCUCUGAUAUUUUGUGAAAUGUGUAUAUUGUCACAAGCUCAGGAGGGAAAAGUGCAGUAGUGGGAGCCAGUCCUAUGUGGAUUGGAUCUCUUCGAGGGACUUGCCUCUCAGUGGGCUGUGAUGGUAUAAAUAUAUUAAUACAUAUGAUCUUGAUGUUGAGGAAGUAUUAUAUCAAUAUAUAAUAUAUGUACAACUUUCAACAGUGGAUCUCUCGGCUCUU
rnacentral:misc_RNA from 1 species